rnacentral:tRNA from 1 species
AGCAGCGUGGCUCAGUGGAAAGAGCACAGGCUUGGGAGUCAGAGGUUGUGGGUUCGAAUCCCGGCUCUGCCA